rnacentral:rRNA from 1 species
UGAUUUGUGACCCCUCUCUGAUAUUGAAAAGUCUGGGUGUUAUGAUUUUUUGACAUACACAGUUGAAUGUCUAUAGAAUGAAAUGUAGGCUUUUGUCAGCCUUAAAUGAUAAAAUACAACUUUUAACAACGGAUCUCUUGGCUCUCGCAUCGAUGAAGAACGCAGCGAAAUGCGAUAAGUAAUGUGAAUUGCAGAAUUCAGUGAAUCAUCGAAUCUUUGAACGCAUCUUGCGGCUCCUUGGUAUUCCGAGGAGCAUGCCUGUUUGAGUGUCAUUAAAUAUCUCAAAAAGCUUGUGCAUUUUUGGCAUGGGAUUUUUGGACAUUGGGAGUUGCCGGCCGCUGAUAAAGUGGUGGGCUCUUCUGAAAAGCAUUAGUUGAGGAGCUUUGCACUCUAUUGGUGUGAUAGACUAUCUAUGCCAGGAGAAGCUUCAUGAUCCUCUGCCAUCUAACUGUCUUUAUUGGACAAUAGAUAAACUUGACC